UAAGAGGAACUCUAAUCAUAAUGUAUAUAUAGAGAUCGGUCUCCUCACAGGAAUAAAGCUAGCAUAGGAACUUCCGGUAAUAGACAGCAGACGACGAGCCAAGAAAAUCUAGGGUCUAUUCUAGGGAUUUUAAGUGUAUUAAGUUUAAAGGUUUAGUGAAUGUAAAACCUGUCAGGAUGUUUGUACUGUCAAGACAAACUGACGUUUUUUUUAAAAACAAACACAAGCCAGCGUGUUUGUAGAAACGAAAAAUACUUCAACACAAUAUUUGCUGAUAAAAAUAGCAAAUUCUACAAACUACUUUUGAACAACACUGAUGGAGAAAAUACUUAUAAUUUGGCCUUGAAACAGUUGAUGUUGUGCUGCAAAUUUAACGAGAUCACAGUUGUCAAAAAUGCCUCCCAGAAUUUCGAUAGUCUGAACUGGUGAAAUAAUUUCUUUGCAAUUGAUUUUAACACAUCUAUAUUUUCUUAGAGGACGAAAUCGAGUUAAACGCCUAGCUGGGUCAGCUAAAGAUUCUUCUUCAUAAAUAAUGAAGACAAAUAUUUUUGGAUCAAAUUUGCUCACUAGUCAUAACUAAGUUUACAAUUAUUAUUCAUUCACAAAAAUUCGGAAAUAUUUAAAUGAAUGGAAUGCAAACUUUUAACAAGUGAUGCAGACUAUCAUACAAGAUUUGUUUCGGAGAGAAGAAUCUUCUUUUGCGAAGCUGAAAUGGCAAAGGAAUAAUUAACAAACACAAUUUCAACAAAGAAAUGAAAUACAUUAACGUUGGAGAGGUAUCUAUUUGCAAAAUUGGAAGGGCUAGAGUAAACUGUUUAGUACGUUGUAAUUGUAAUUUUAGACUUUCUCCAAAAAAUUCGGUUUCGGGACGUCGAGAAACUUCGUGAAAAAAAUGUUGUAUGAUUCGAUGCAUAAUAUCAGAAAAUUUUGAAUUCUAUGUAACGCCAUCACCUGGAGGCUGGCUACCAACAAUAUUUUCUAA